AACGAACGCUGGCGGCGUGCUUAACACAUGCAAGUCGAGCGGUAAGGCCCUUUCGGGGGUACGACGAGCGGCGAACGGGUGAGUAACACGUGGGUGACCUGCCCUCCAGCUCUGGGAGUAAGCCUGGGAAACCGGGGUACGUAAUACCGGAUAUGACUCCAUGACGCAUGUUGUGGGGUGGAAAGCCUUGCGCGGCUGAGGAUGGGCCCGCCGGCCUAUCAGCUUGUUGGUGGGGUGGAUGGCCUACCAAGGCGACGACGGGUAGCCGG
rnacentral:rRNA from 1 species